rnacentral:snoRNA from 1 species
GCAGACUCACUCUGUACCCGGCUGCCAUCCCAGGCGGGUGCUUUUUCCGUCUGCCACAGAAACAUCCCUGGGUGCUGUGACUGCCUUGACCUGUCAAGGGUGAUAACAGCUCUCUGGAGACACAAGG